rnacentral:rRNA from 1 species
AUCGACAAUACACGUUAANUUUCACUUUCUUAUAAAAUUUAUAUACCGCCAUCUUAAGAAUCAAUCAAAAAAUAUUUCUCAAAAAAAAAUAUAAAAAGUUAGGUCAAGGUGUAAUUCAUAUUUAAGAUAAGAUGAAUUACAUUAAAUAUAAUUUAAAGAUUAAAUAUAUAUAUAUAUUCAUAAAUAAGAAUUUAAAAGUAAUAUUUAAAUAAUAAUAUAAUAUGACAAAGAUAAUAAAUGUGUACACAUCGCCC